rnacentral:rRNA from 1 species
AUUGAACGCUGGCGGCAGGCCUAACACAUGCAAGUCGAGCGGAUGAAGGGAGCUUGCUCCUGGAUUCAGCGGCGGACGGGUGAGUAAUGCCUAGGAAUCUGCCUGGUAGUGGGGGAUAACGUCCGGAAACGGGCGCUAAUACCGCAUACGUCCUGAGGGAGAAAGUGGGGGAUCUUCGGACCUCACGCUAUCAGAUGAGCCUAGGUCGGAUUAGCUAGUUGGUGGGGUAAAGGCCUACCAAGGCGACGAUCCGUAACUGGUCUGAGAGGAUGAUCAGUCACACUGGAACUGAGACACGGUCCAGACUCCUACGGGAGGCAGCAGUGGGGAAUAUUGGACAAUGGGCGAGAACCUGAUCCAGCCAUGCCGCGUGUGUGAAGAAGGUCUUCGGAUUGUAAGGCACUUUAAGUUGGGAGGAAGGGCAGUAAGUUAAUACCUUGCUGUUUUGACGUUACCAACAGAAUAAGCACCGGCUAACUUCGUG